rnacentral:tRNA from 1 species
AGGCUUGUAGCUCAGUUUGGUUAGAGCGCACCCCUGAUAAGGGUGAGGUCGGUGGUUCAAAUCCGCUCAGGCCUA